GUCUGCUGCCUUGCGAGUCGGCCCCUCCUCAAUUAUAUCCAUGCCAUCUGUUCCAGUUUGGGAAGCUACAAUUGCAGUUUCAUGAAUGGAGACCAAGUUGGAUGGGCGGAUUUAAUGAGUGCUGCUAAUCCACUCACAUGAGGACAAGCCAUUGAAGUACCUGAUAAGAAGGCAAACCCAUUGCUAGUUCCAGCAUCAACUGGUGAAUAAGCUGCUAAGAUGUUCACUCCUGGGGCAGCAACAUCGGGCUGCAUCAUCAACCAAACACGAAUUAUAAGGAGACAAGGUGAUGGAAGAUUCCAAAGAUCUUUUAAUUUUGGAGCAACUCUAUUUUUCAUACAUGGCAAUGCUAUUCCUGAAACCAAUCUGUUGAGUCUGCUAUUACCUUUAGCACAGCAGGAGACAUGGAACUGGGUCCUCUGGACGAGAAAUAUGCAACAUGUGGAGAUGCCCAUUUCCCUGUAACAGUCUUUGGAAAUUUCAGCUUUGCAGUAGGAGACCUUCACCGACAAGUUUAUGAGGAAUUAAAUCACAUGACUCAAGCUGACUGGUGGGGAACUGUG